AAAGGUAGCAUAAUAAUUUGUCUUUUAAUUAAAGAAUAGUAUGAAUGGAUAGACGUAAAAUUAGCUGUCUCUUUUUUAUUAUAUUAAAAUUAAUUUUUAAGUGAAAAAGCUUAAAUUAAAAGAAAAGACAAGAAGACCCUAUCAAUUUUUAAUUAUCUUUCUUAAGAAAUUAAAGAAUCUUUUUUUGGUUGGGGCAACCGAAAAGGAAAUUAAUCCUUUUUACUUUCCCUUUUUGAAAAAAAACUAACCUAAUUAUUUUGACUUUUGACAUAAAUACUGUAGGGAUAACAGCAUAAUUUUUUUUUGGAGUUCUUAUCUGAAAUAAAGUUUGUGACCUCGAUGUUGGACUAAGGUAACUUUUAGGUGCAGGAGCUUAAAAAGUUAGACUGUUCGUCUAUUAAUUCCUUACAU
rnacentral:rRNA from 1 species